UUGACUAGCUUCCAAAGUGGUGGAGGACGUACCUUAUGCAUCAGAGCACAGAAUGUUCUUAGAAGACCAUGGAGGACAGUGCGAUCCCACAGAUUAGUAUGUGCUGGUUGUCAUUUAGGUCUCUCUAGAAGAGUCUGGAUCUUUCACAUUGUGCAGGCUGCCACAAGACAUAUAGGUCUUGAUGUUCCCAUGCGGAGUGGCAGGCAGCUGCUGCCAUCCUGGCCUCCCAACUCUUCCUGUGGGCGGUGUUUCAGAUCCUCUUGGCCUCACCUGUCUCCUGUCCCCGCUGCAAUGGCACAUGGGCUCCAGCUGACUCCACACAGGUUUGGCUGCUGAGAGAGGCGGAAAUGAAUGGACCUGGGAUGAGCUUCUAUACAAAUGCCUUACAAAGCCCGAGGGACGGUCCUGCUUCUGCCAGCUGAGCAGGAAGGAGCCUGGCCAGAGAAUAUUCCUGCAGUCGCUCACCGCGGCCACACCAUGUUGCUGUUGGAGAUGAGUCUUGUGUGGUUCAUCCUCCACUGGGUUAGUUCCCGCCCUGCUCCAGGUCCUGUCCGAGCUUCCGUGGGCAUGUGAAAGAGGACAGGCACAUUCCUUGUUCAGCAUCAAACAUGGCCAAGAGCUGCUGGGCUCUUUAAUGCACAUCCAUGGUCCCCGGAUGCAUGCUGUGCCAUUACUAGCCUGAGCCUGUGCACGUUUCUGUCAUUGAGCAGAGCCCAAGUCCUCCCCCAGACUUCCCUGGCUUUCCUGCUGAGUGUCAUCUUAAAGAAUGUGUCACAUUGCCCUAUUGCA